UGCAAGUUUUGUCACCCAAGGCCAUGCACUACACUAGAUGAAAGAUCACUGGAGAAAGAAAAGAAAAAGUGUCGGGCUGGAGUGAAAGCAACCCUAAUUAUGGGUCAGCAACAUGAUGUGGGCGACCAAUAGGAGUAAAGACGCUGGAGCGGAUGUGAUCCGUACUUAUCCUGUGAGAUACUGCAAUCGAGCAUCAUCCAGAUGGAGGAGUUCAUGUUACUACCUUACUGCCACAGAAGAUGACAGGACUUGACAUGACUCUAAAUAACUUUUAGGUGUCAUUCUUUGGCCUCCAAUGUUACUAGGCCAAAACCCUCUUUCACAGGAGCUCUCAGAGAACUGAAGACUUUUUCAACAUUGUAUCAUAUCUCUGAAAGCAAUGCUUCACCAUCAAACUCUCUCUUCACCUCAUCUCCUCCUGGAAUGGCUUACCUCCUGACACAAAGCACCGGCAGGGUACAGUAUGAAUGACUCUGGAGGUGAUUGACGCAGGAUGAAUGUGUGACGGAAAUGAAAUUUCAUUUGGGAUGAUGCUCUUUUCAUGGUGAGAGUGCCAUAUUCAGAACACUUCCCCUGAUAAGCUGACCUCA